ensembl:snRNA U6 U6 spliceosomal RNA
GUGCUCCCCUCAGCAGCACAUAUACUAAAAUUGGAAUGAUGCAGAGAUUAGCAUGGCCCCUAUGCAAGGAUGACAGGCAAAUUUGCAAAGUGUUCCAUAUUUUU